rnacentral:rRNA from 1 species
UACGUAGGGGCCGAGCGUUGUCCGGAGUUACUGGGCGUAAAGCGCGCGCAGGCGGUCUGCUAAGCCCGGCGUGAAAGCCCCCGGCUCAACCGGGGAGGGUCGUCGGGGACUGGCAGACUUGAGGACGGCAGGAGCUGGUGGAAUCCCCGGUGUAGUGGUGAAAUGCGUAGAGAUCGGGGGGAACACCCGUGGCGAAGGCGGCCAGCUGGGCCGGACCUGACGCUGAGGCGCGAAGGCGUGGGGAGCGAACGGG